AGGUUUUGGAAUGCAGUAAAAUAUACAGAAAGUACAUUUGCAGAAUUUAUUUUGGAGUGGGGGUCUGUUAUUUUCUUCAGAUUGUAAAGGAAAGAAGUGAAGUGCGUAAAAGAUAAAAUUCACAGCAGAAGGAAGCUCAUGGAGUCAGCAAAAGGUCAAUCUCCCAGUUUAUUUCCCAGCUAAUUAGUCCAGGUUGAAGGCAUCCACUUAAAACAACAGGAAACAUGGCUGCCCCAAAUGAUUCCAUUCAAGCUUUCAAAAUAUAAUACUGAAUACCACCUUAAUUCUACUUGUUUGGAAUAUGUUCCACAUCUUCACUGUUCAUCAAAGGUAGCGAGAUUAUGGGUCUGAGGGGACCUCCUGAUUUGUAAAUUUUGACUGGGACUUUGAGACAACACAUCCACCCUAGGAC